CAACUUCAGGCAGACUAUAAGCGGGGAAGAGAGAAACGUCGAGGCAGAUGAAGAGAAGGACGUAAAUGGACAGGAUUACAAAUGACUGAGGCCCCCUCAGGACCAUAUUAUGCCAAAUCAAGUCAAGAAACUACUCCGGUACCACACCCUCAAAGACUACAGAAAACCUACGUCCAAAAUUGAAGAGCUCGCCAGUGACCUUAACGACAGACUGAAGUGUGUCUUUGCUGCUUAACGGGUCCCUGCCCUUGCACAGUCGGUGACCAUGCAACA